CAUUUGUCUUUUAAAUGGAGACUCGUAUGAACGGCGAAACCUUUUUCAACUGUCUCCCCUCCCACCCUUUUAAAUUUCUUCCUGUGUGAAGAAGCACAGAUAUAUUAGAAAGACGAGAAGACCCUGUCGAGCUUUAGUCACCAAGUGGACCGCUUCCUUUUAAGGUACCACCUAAAGGCUUUGGUUGGGGCAACCAUGGAGAAAAAAAAUCCUCCAGAACAAAUAGAAGAAAACCUUUCACUAUUUAUCAAACUUAAGAACCAGGAACUGGUAUUCGGAAAAAGUUACCGCAGGGAUAACAGCGUCAUCUCCUCUAAGAGUCCUUAUUGACGAGGAGGUUUGCGACCUCGAUGUUGGAUUGGGGCCCCCUUAGGGUGCAGAAGCUCUAAACGGUUAGACUGUUCGUCUAUUAAAGCCCUACAUGAUCUGAGUUCAAACCGGAG
rnacentral:rRNA from 1 species